GACGAACGCUGGCGGCGUGCUUAACACAUGCAAGUCGAACGGUAAGGCCCUUCGGGGUACACGAGUGGCGAACGGGUGAGUAACACGUGGGUGAUCUGCCCUGCACUUCGGGAUAAGCCUGGGAAACUGGGUCUAAUACCGGAUAGGACCACUGCCUGCAUGGGUGGUGGUGGAAAGCUUUUGCGGUGUGGGAUGGGCCCGCGGCCUAUCAGCUUGUUGGUGGGGUGAUGGCCUACCAAGGCGACGACGGGUAGCCGGCCUGAGAGGGUGACCGGCCACACUGGGACUGAGAUACGGCCCAGACUCCUACGGGAGGCAGCAGUGGGGAAUAUUGCACAAUGGGCGCGAGCCUGAUGCAGCAACGCCGCGUGAGGGAUGACGGCCUUCGGGUUGUAAACCUCUUUUAGUAGGGAAGAAGCGAAAGUGACGGUACCUGCAGAAAAAGCACCGGCUAACUUCGUGCCAGCAGCCGCCGUAA
rnacentral:rRNA from 1 species